GCGGGGGCUCCGGUGGGACACUUCAAACUCUUGCGUAACUUUGCAGUCUGAGUAAACUUAAUUAAUAAAUUAAAACUUUUAACAACGGAUCUCUUGGUUCUGGCAUCGAUGAAGAACGCAGCGAAAUGCGAUAAGUAAUGUGAAUUGCAGAAUUCAGUGAAUCAUCGAAUCUUUGAACGCACAUUGCGCCCUUUGGCAUUCCGAAGGGCAUGCCUGUUCGAGCGUCAUUACACCACUCAAGCCUGGCUUGGUAUUGGGCGUCGCGCCCCCGCGCGCGCCCUAAUGUCUCCGGCUGGACCGUCCGUCUCUAAGCGUUGUGCAUUCGUCCGCUUGCGAGGCCGGGCGGCUCCGGGCCGUUAAACACCCCCAUCAAAGGUUGACCUCGGAUCAGGUAGGGAUACCCGCUGAACUUAAGCAUAUCAAUAAGCGGAGGAAAAGAAACCAACAGGGAUUGCCCCAGUAACG
rnacentral:rRNA from 1 species